rnacentral:lncRNA from 1 species
AAGAGCCUCAGCUGCCGCGUGCCUUCUGUCUGCUGUGGGCCCAGCAGCUGCACAGACCCCUCUUGUUGGGAGACAAGACAGGGCUCUUUCUCUCCCGUGACCUCAGCCUCAUCUCCAAUCGUGGGGAAGAGAGAAACUGAAAUUCUUCCUGUGACUGAACACAUGAGAAUGCAACAGUUACUUGGGGUAACAGGUUUCCUGUGGGUCCUGUGUGAAGAGUAUGCAUUCAUUCCAGUGUCGGGGAGGGGAGAAGAAUGAGGAGGAGGCAGUCCCAUGUGGAUGUCAGUGUGAUGAUUAGGAUGCCUGAUGCUUCCGAAACAAGAAUACACUUUACGAAAAUGCCCAUUGAAAAUACUUUUUCCUUUCUACUCUUGUGCUAAGAGUGCCUGUUUGGACCCCAUGGCUUCGUAAUGCAAUGGCUUUUACCCUUGUCCCACGGCCCCCCUGCCCAACUCAAGAAGGUGAUGAAAUAGGCUGCAGAAGUUCCCAGCCAGGCAAGUAGAAGCAGGGUAUUGUGAAGAUGAAAGCAAAGAUAUGGCAAGAGCUCAGAAGAGUACCUGGCCCAUAAGAAAAUGCCAGUGUUGGAGAAAAUGGGAGAGGAAGCUGGAAAAGCCUGGGGGAGUUAUCAUCAGUGAUACAUGUCUGACCCCAGGUGAAGGAGGGAGGGAGGGAAGGUUGGGUUGAAGUGUCCUAGACUAUAGUAAAGUCCAGGAGAGAUUUGGCAAGGAUCUUGAGGAGUUCUUAAAACAAAGUUAGCUGUCAGAGGACCCCGUAUUAUCAAUGAACAAACUUAUCAUAGUAUUCCCAGCAAUGGGUUUCAGUGAGCAGUAGCUGGGUCCCUUAAUCAAUAAUGCAUCCUGUAGUUGGAAGUCUAUGAGGCAUAAUUUCAAAGGUGCCCCACGGUUUCUAUCCUAGCUCCGCCAUUAAUUGGCUGUUAUUCUAGCAAGUUACUCUGCCUCUCUUUAAACCUCAUCUUCUUCAUUUGUAAAGUGGUAAUGCUAGUAGUACCUUCUCUGUGGUGUGGUUUAAAUAAGAUAAAGAAUGUAUUGUUGUUUUUCUCUGGGGCACCUGGAUCCUGACUGUACCAACUGCUUUCAACUGAUUGGUCUGUGUUCAGGCUGAAGUCCUGGGCUGAAAUUCAUAGAUGUUGUGUUCUAAAAGGAAAUGCUUACUAAUCUCAUUCAUCAGAAAGAAUCUGAAAUAUUUUAUCUUCUGACUUUUGUAUAUACAUCUCUCCUUUUAAAAAUGAAACAAAUAAACUUACAAAGAACAAAGAUAUAAUAGACUGGGAACAAAAUAAACAGCCUCAGGCACAUGUGGCACUAUACCAGAAGAUCUAACAUUUGUGUCAUUGGGGUGCUAGAAGAAGAGGAGAGAGAGUUUGGGGUUGCUAAAGUACCAGACAUAAUAGCUGAAAACUUCCAAAAUUUGACAAAAGAUAUAACCUAUAGAAUCAAGAAACUGGGUUAACCCCAAAUAGGAUAAACCCAAAGAAAUCUAUAUCUAAAGCACAUCAUAAUCAAACUUCCAAAUAUUAAAGACUAGGAAGAAGUCUUGAAAGCAGUGACGGAGAAACAACAAUUUACCUAAGGAAGAAAAACAGCUCAAAUGACAGUGGAGUUCUUAUCAGAAAGCAUGACAGAAGGAAGUGGUACAACAUUUUUCAAGUGCUGAAAGAAAAGAGCUGUCAAUGCAGAAUUCUGUAUCUAGUGAAAAUUUCUUUAGAAAUGAAAGGGAAAUCAAGAUAUUCUCAGAUAAAGGAAAACUAAGAGAAUUUUUUUUUUUUUUUUUACCAGCAGGCCUUCUCUAGAAGAAUGGCAAAAGGAAGUUCUUUAAACAGAAAGGAAAUAAUAAAAUAUGGACCUUCGAAUGUUAGGAAGAAAGAGAAAAUAUGAGAAAUGUUUAUUUAUAAAAUGUGUGCAAUGAGCAAAAAUAUGGUUAAAGACAAUGGAUUGCUUCUUUUCUUGGGUCUUCUAAAUCAUGUUUGAUGGCUGAAGCAAAAAUUAUAACAGCAUCUUAUGUGGUUCUAAAUGUAUACUGAGGAAAUAUUUAAAACAGUUACAUUUUAAGCAGGUAAUGAGGGACAUACAGCUCAGAAAGGAAGAAAUAACACUUCCCCUAUUCCCAGAUGACAUGAUUUCCUGUGUAGAAAAUGCCAUGGAAUCUAAGCAAAUAAACAAACAAACAAAACAAUAAAAGAUCCCACUAGAAUCAAUAAGUGAGUUUAGCAAGUUUGCAGAAUACAAAAAAGCACACAUGAGAAACAUCAGUUGUCUUUCUAUAUGGUAACAGUGAACACAUGAAUACCAAAAUUAAAAAUACAAUACCAUUUACAAUCAACCAAAAAAUAUGUACUUAUGUAUACAGGAAUUAUGUGUUGAAAAAUACAAAAUGCUGAUGAAAGAAAUCAAAGAAGAACUAAUUAGAGAGAGACAUACCAUAUUUAUGCAUUGAAAUAUUGACAUAGUGAAGAUGUCAGUUCUCUUCAAAUUGAUAUACAGGUUUAACGCAAUUCCUAUCAAAAUCCCAGCAAGAGUUUUGUAGAUUGAGACAAGACUAUUUCUAAAAUUUAGAUGAACAAACAUAGGAAUUAAAAUAGCUAAACCAAUUUUGAAAAAGAAGAAUAAAGUGGGAGAAAUCAACUCCCUCAUUUUAAGACUUACUAUAAAGCUACAGUAAUUAAGACUGUACGGUAUUGGCAAAGGGCAAACACAUAGAUCAAUGGAACAGACCAGAGAAUCAAAAAAUAGACCCACAAAAAUAUGCCCGAUUGAUUUUUGACAAAGGUGAAAAAGCAAUUUAGUGAUGGAAAAAUAGCAUUUUCAACAAAUGGUGCUGGAGCAAUUGGGCUUUCAUGAGCAGAAAUAUCUUGACCUAGCUCUCGCACCUUAUGCAAGAAUUAACUCAAAAUAGGUAAUGGACUUAAAUGUAAAACACACAAAAAAGUCAAGUCUUAGACUUGACACCAAAAGCAAAGUCCAUAAUAGAAAAAAAUAGGUAAAUUAGAUUUAACUAGACCUACUCAAAAUUAAGCCUUUUUUUCUGUGAACAACUCUGCUAAGAGGAUGGAAAAACUAACUACAAACUUGAAGAAAAUAGUUGCAAAGCACAUAGCCAACAAAAGAUUAGUAUGUGGAAUAGAUAAACAACUUUCAAAAGUUAACAGUAAAAGACAAACAUCUAAUUAGGAAAUUGACAAAAGAUAUGAAGAGACACCUUACUAAGAAGAUACACAGAUAGAAAUUAAGCACAUGACAAGAUCUUCAACACCAUUAGCCUUUAAAUGAAAUCAAGACCUCAAUGAGAUAUCACAACACACCUAUCUCCUUAUAUGUCACAUGUAAACUCUUAGUCUAAUAGAGAAAUAAAAGUAUGGAACAUUUUAUAAGAUAUAUAGCAUAUGAUAAAAGACAAGUACAUAAGCCAGCACUAAGCCUGUAGUGAGUGUGUACUAUUUGCCAGAUAUCCUAUGUGUUUUAUCUCAGUUUACCCUGACAAUCCCUUGAGGCAGUAAUGUAGAAGAUACAUACUCAAUAUUUUCUGGUUAAAUGAAUAAGUAAUUUCAUCUCUGAAUGGUUGAAUGAGUGGAUGGAUGUUUGGAAUUGGUAAAGGGUAGAACAAUGUAAAACAUUUUAAGACAUAACACAGGCUGGGCAU